rnacentral:rRNA from 1 species
AGUGAGCGCUGGCGGUAGGCCUAACACAUGCAAGUCGAACGGCAGCACAGAGGAGCUUGCUCCUUGGGUGGCGAGUGGCGGACGGGUGAGGAAUACAUCGGAAUCUACUCUGUCGUGGGGGAUAACGUAGGGAAACUUACGCUAAUACCGCAUACGACCUACGGGUGAAAGCAGGGGAUCUUCGGACCUUGCGCGAUUGAAUGAGCCGAUGUCGGAUUAGCUAGUUGGCGGGGUAAAGGCCCACCAAGGCGACGAUCCGUAGCUGGUCUGAGAGGAUGAUCAGCCACACUGGAACUGAGACACGGUCCAGACUCCUACGGGAGGCAGCAGUGGGGAAUAUUGGACAAUGGGCGCAAGCCUGAUCCAGCCAUACCGCGUGGGUGAAGAAGGCCUUCGGGUUGUAAAGCCCUUUUGUUGGGAAAGAAAUCCAUCUGGUUAAUACCCGGGUGGGAUGACGGUACCCAAAGAAUAAGCACCGGCUAACUUCGUGCCAGCAGCCGCGGUAA